AGCUGGAAUCAGACGAAUACGAGACCGACGGAAGGCCAAUUCAUUGUUUCGUUAUGUCACGUGUAUAACCACGUAUGUUUGUCGAAUGGGGAAUUCCGAUGCGAACUGGAAGGCCAAACUCGACGAUAGCGACGAUAAAAGGAAAUUGAAAUAGAAAAAGAUGCACCUCUUCAUUUAACUCGACGAAUGUUAUCAGAUCAUUUUUUGGGUCUUCUUCGAAUUUUCAUUGAGGUAAAAAACCUACCCAUACCAGCUUCGGGAUCGUGUCGAAUAAUUGGCGAAAGAUAAGAAAGAAUUGCUCGAGUAGGUAUCUAAAUCUUAAGAAUUAGCGGAAUCUGAUUACGAAAAUACAACUCCUGAUAUAAAUCAAUUAACGAGGUGGUAUAACGUAGAGAACAAACAAAUUGGUACAAUAAAUAAAAAGAUGCCUGACUCGCUGUAGUUUCGGUACUAUUCCAUUGGAAAAUUUUGAUAAAAUUAUCUUCUUCGUUUUUUCUGUUUAUCUACCAAACGACACAUGUUCAGAAUAUGUGUAGGAAUUAUUCGGUAAACUUUACCUGAUAGGUAUCGUUUAAUUUGAAACUAUAUGGGAGUCUGUACGGUAGUAUAGGAGGAAGGUUGAUUAAUGAUUAACGAGAUGAAUUAUUCAGCAUGAUUGAAAUACGCUCAUGCAGUUUCAGUAUAAUUGAUCAAUUGAGAGAGCAAAUCUGCAAGUGCAAUUUCCUCAUGCUAGACAUUUAUACAAAUUAGACUGAGCUGCAUUUAGAAAGCUAUAGAAAAUUAGGAAUUGAGGGGACAAUUAAAUGCCGAAGAAGAUAUCUCUUUUCGAAUAUCAUGAAAUGAAGAAUUCUAAGACUGCAGAAUUUCAAGUUAUUUAUAAUAUGCAAUUCGGAUCCUUCGAACAUUUGGAAAUGAAUUAGAAUAGUUUAACGAAGCAGUUCAAAAUCUUAAUUCUCUUCUUCGCGACUCUGUCUGCCUUAAAUUUUCCUCUCGAAGUCAGCUUAUGAGCUAAAGCUCAUGUGUGAUGGCAGCACAGUUCGGGAGAGAUUAAGCUGACGAUGUAAAAAAUCAUGUGGCUCCAUCUGUUAGGGGUGCUGAGCUUGCAGUUCUUCAGUCAUUAAAGGGCCGUGGGAAUUGAUAAAAAUGAAUGACAUCGAUUCAGCCAAUGGCACCCGCAUUCCUGUACUACGACAGAUACUCCAGCCAAUCGUAAGUCUGAUAGUAAACAUGCGUACAACUGUCACGUGACUAGAAAGGAAUUUGAUUGAUAUUUUACGACUGGGGUAGGUUGUUUACUUAUAGAGCUGUCAAACAGCAGACCACUGUGUGGACCUUUAAAUUCUUAAAUCACGGAGACUUGCGGAGAAUUGAAAUGAAACGUUUAAAAUACGGUUGAAAACUGAAAAUAUUAUUGCCUUGUAUUAAAUGGAACUGGUAUUUCAAGGUAUGACAUAACUAAUAGCUCUAAAAAUUCAUACUUUCAUAUUAUACCUGAGGGUUAGUUUUUAUUUUUACUCUCCUCUUGGUGAUCUUUGUUACUUUCUUACUCUUCAACUUAAAGUUCAACCUGGUUUCGGUUCUAAAGUCCAUGAUUCAAGUCACCGGGCAUUAUCCCCAUCAAAAUACUGCUAUGACAGUUACCAUCUAUAACCUUCACAAUUGUGAAAGGGUUGUAGAUUGGCAACAAUCAAGCCGCUGAAGAUGAGUUAUGAUUCUAACUCAUGUUUAUCAUACUUUGUCCCACCGGAAGUACUGGAGAUGAUUGGGCCUCGGGGAGUGUAACAAGCUCGGAGCAAGACGCAGUUCAAGGGACCGAUGUUCAUGGUUCAAGAGAUUGAUAGCGUAUCGAAGGCCACUAAAUGACAAAGAAACAAACCAGAGAGGACUGGCGAUCAACCGGCAUACUCCAAUCAUUCUGUUGUCCCACCGAGGAGUGGAAUCGUGUGGCUCUGCUCUCAAGAGACACGGAAUUUUCUGUGCCCCGAAGAAGUGUGAGGCUUGCGUCCUAGUAUCAAGCUCCUUUGGUGUUGUAGAAAAUCUUGUAUACUGAUUAAAUAUUAUUCAAACGA